rnacentral:lncRNA from 1 species
CUGACGUUACGCUCGAUGUUGGUGUCACUUUUGGUAACGUCGUAACGUCAAAAUCAUGUUAUAUGAUUGACGUUUUGUAAUAUUGACGUCCAUUAUAUUUAACAACUUAACCACACGUUUAACUCUUGGUUUUCUGGUAAUAAAAGGAGAUACGGGUGUAUGCCAGGGGACCUCUAGACAAAUGGAAAUAUAUAUAAGGAAUACGUAUGGUGUUUUGUGAAAACAGAAAUUGUGGGAUUUACGCUACAUUCAAGUCCAUUCAUGCACAAUUUGUUUUAAAAUAAUGUUUACCGGUCGAAAAAACAAGAUUUUUUUAUUAUGAAAAUCGCACUGAAGAGGAGAAACCCUUACAAUUUUUAGAUUUUUUAUACUUGUU